CUCUGGAGGAACAAAACCUUGUAUUAGUGCUUUAUAUCAGGUAAAAAAGUCAAGCCCUCAAGUUUUCCCUCCUAGGCAAUAACAAGUCAAGGUCAAAUAAAUCCCUAGUGAGAACACGGAGGAAACAUUGCGUGGAAAUAACCCUAGGCCACAGAUCUCCAAAAGUCACUGCUCAUUUUGAAAACCCACCUUUAACAGGGCUGGGGUUUUCGAAAGUGCCAAGCGCAGGCCUUCUGCAAAAGAGGCCCCUUGAAAGAGUCUCCGGUUGGACGUCCCAAAACCGGGGGGCCCAAAAUCACAGGUCACUUUUGAAAAGCUUGGCUUUUACUUUCUAGUCACGUGUUUAAUAUAAUCCCAUUUAAAGCAUACCCAUGGAUUUAACAAGCGUUCCCUGGACAGCAUGCUACAAAGCCUGAAAAACUGCACAGCUUCAAUAAAAAGGCCCUUUUCCCAGGACAUAAAGCAUCACAGGCUGGGCUGAUUACAGCCUCGCCAGCGACGAUCCCCAAUCCCGGGACCCUGCUAGCUAGAGCGGAGGGCCUCCGACACUCGUCUGGGCCCCACCUUUGAAAUCCUGCAGUGACCCCAACAGUCAUAUGCUUAAAGUUAAGCAUGUGCUUAAAGACAGCCCUGAAUCAAAGGCACCUACAGAGCUCUUGGACUACCCAGGGGUGGAAGAACUAACCGAGCAAAUGGCCUGGCCCUUCAUCACUUAACGGCGCAGACUGUCUUUAUUUUACGCUAUUAUAGAAACGAGUUUUUUAAAAUGUAACAUUUUAGAAAAACCAAAAAUGAGCGUUACUGGGAACUCAUAUCCUGGCAUCACCAGUAAUUCCCAAUUCAAGCUCUGCUUAAAGCUCAGUGGCGCCAUGUGACCCCACACUGCCGAAAGGAACGGGUGGUCUCCCGUCCCCCCUCCCGGACCUGGAAGCAAGCUGCUGUGACAGUAGAAAGCUGGGCUGACCUACGGCGUUACUUUAUUACGACUUCAAAACUUCCCACUGGGCUAGUUUUCCCCUGGGGCCACAGUCCCUUCCCGCUCUCAGAAAGGAUCUUGCAAUAUGCAUCGGGAUUUAUAGCAGAACAAGAGCACACGAUGCUCCUGCUCCCUCCCAGCGCGCAGGCUCCACGCAGGCAAGGCGCCUUCGCAGAAGCAUUUAAGAGCUUCAAAGGAAAAGAUUUUUAAAAAGGAGCCAACAACGCGAACUGGAUCUAACAGCAUCACCUGCGCCUGCAAAAUACGCUUGUUACCAUCCCUCCCACCCCACAGAGCUUUUUCACACCACGCAGCUGAUUUCAUGACACACGUGAACGGACAACGGUCCGCGCACGGAGAAUAAAUACAUGAGCGGGCAGAGCACCAAACCCACUGGACACAGCAUCGGGGCCGGAUCCUGCUCCGAUUGAGCUCUCUCCCCCCCACCCAUCCUGGGCAGGGAGAGCAAAACAGGUUGAAGGACGGACUCUGCUGAGAGCCAUUCGCUGGAAGACAUCAGGAGAUCAGCACUGGCGUCAUCAAAAAUGAUGCCUAUUUCCUUUUUCUAGCAACCAAUGCCUCACACCAUAAUGAUCCGCUUCAAGAGAUGGCUCAACCUUACCUCCAUGUUCACAAAACCUGUGAAACCAACACAUUAAAAACUAGAAUGAAAGCAGGGAAGAAAUCGCAGGCUCGGAUCUCAGUAUGAAUGCCACAGCACAGAUCCUGGCACCCGCUUCUUCUACGGAAAGCACAGAACGUGGCAACGGCAGGCCCAGGCAGGAGCUCCAGGUGCGCUGGUAAAUGUUGGGACGUUACUGCGGAUGUCAUUCCUGUUUCUGAUCGCCGCGUGUUUCCAUCAGACCCGAAUCCCAGGCUCAGACCUGUUGUUCCUACCAUCUGGCCAACCAGUGCAUGCACAUUUGAGCCCCCGGGAAGUUUACCUCCUCAGUCCACUUUGCCUCCGUGAUGCUUGCUGCUGUUUGCCCCGUGGGGUAGUUCACUCCCAUGGGACUGGUUCUUUUCCCUGACUGAACUACUGAAAUUCAGAGCAGACGAUGGAGGACUGGCUUCAGCUCUGGCUUCGGCUCCAAGUGUCCAGGAAGAGAGUCGAUUGUGCUGACUGUCCAUGCUGCUGUGCAUCUGUGCCUGGCUGUCACUCAGGCACGGGCUAGCCCUGAGCAGCAGGAAUCCAGCUCUCCUCCGAAGACACCCACUAUUUCUGCGUGGGACUCCCCCAUUCUCUUCUCCCACCUGCUCCCCUGCACGCUCUGCCCAGGCUUGCGCUGCAGCUGUAGGGGUGUCGGCAGCAUGGGUGUGCACACCCUUGCCUGGGCUGGUCCAGGUGCCAGUAGCAGGGUCACCACAGCAGCACAGCCUUCUUCACCGUGGGCUCUACAAGCUCACCUGGGGCCCUACAUACAAACCAGCACAGGCAGCCUGCGUGGAGGUCCCUGCUGCUGCAGCUUCACAGCUCUGGUACAUGCAUGGGACUGUAAUCAGCUCGGGUGUGCAAGGCCACUGUGCAAUGACACCUGCAACUUCAGUUUAGCCAGAGCUCAAACUCCCGAGGAGGGUUUACAGAAAAGCUCCCUUCUGCUGUAACAAAUGAGGAAGUCCUUAGUAGAGGAAGUACACUAAGGCAUGAAAACCAACAGGGAUUUUGGAGGAGGAUGGUAACAGGGAACCCAGCACAGGGUCACCAGGGACUGGGCUCUUUUGCCUGCAGCAUUUGUGGUGUCUCUUGAGCCAUAGGAGAUCCCCCAUUGGCAGAUACUCAUUUAUAUGGAGCUGGUGAGCCUGGGAUGAUGAUCAUAUGAGGAGUCUGGUAUGCAAGGUUUCUGAAUUAGUUAAGCCCUGAGAUGGGGCCACAGGGCUGGCAACGCUGGAGGAGCAGUUUCACAGCAGAGAACAGGAGAGGGGAGGUGGGGACAGAAGGGUCUCUUCUCUGGGCCAGCACACAGGGGAGGGCCGUGAGCUCACGGGAAGAGCACCCAAGCAAGGCUGUGCCCAUUGCCCCACACAGGCUGCAGCAGCAAGGCUGGCUGAAGGCAUAAGCCGGGGUAACUAUGUUGAAUCCCCACCCGUGGCCUAUUUCCCUCCAUCUCUAGCACCCAUGGGAUCCAAAUGCUCAGGCUUUCCCCGAGCGCAGCAUGCCUCACCCCAGUGAAACACCUCUUUGCAUUCCUCACGCGGCUCUACAGGACCCGUUGGAGACCCAACCCACUUACACAACACGCUGAGCCAGCAGGCAACUGGGGGUCUCCACAGACCCCACUCGCUCAUGCCAGUGAUGCAGGGAGUGAUGCCAGCACACAGCUUUGCAGCGUGGACUGUAACGUCCCAUGGCCACUCCCCCAGCACCCUGCAGCAUGCACCCACAGGAGCAUGUAAAAUCCAAGCGUGCGUUACCCCUUAUCCCGUGCUUGGUGCUGGCGUGGUAUCUGGUCUUGUCCAAAGGAGCAGUUUAAGCCCAGGCAGAUAACAGUGUGCAGCGUGUGGCUGGGAGAGGAUCUCUUACACUGAACUUUUGGACUCCUUACAGUAUGAAACGAUAUAUUAUCCCCGCUCUGGCUCCGUACAAUGUCUGUGAAAGAUGCAGCCAGGAAUACUCAAGUUCGCCCACUGGGGAAACAUUGUGUUACGUGAAGACUGGAGCUUUCUCCCCUUAUCUGCAGCCCAGUUGAUGAAGGGGCUGGCGUCAGUCUAGCAAUCCUGAUGGCUUCCAUUUAGCACCAGCAAGGGCUGCCUAUCAGCAGAGUGCUGGGGCAGAUAGCAGACGGGACUAUCUAAUCACAUACCUUUUGCAUUAGUGCUGCCAUAUAUUCCUUCCACUUACAAUCCGGAGACUGGACUGCACUGAAUUUUCACAGGAAUGAACUGUCAACAACCCCGUCCUUCCCAAGGCCUAAAAAUGGGACGUGCAGUGGGGGGCUUUAUCGCACAGGCCAGUAGGUUUCUUUUCUUAGACUUCCAGGCAAUGGCCAGGCCAGACUUGGAGCCCCCAUGCACGAGACAUCAAGGAGACCUUUCCGAGAUAACAGCAGUUCACUUGGCUCUCUCGAGAAUGCCUCGUGGCUGUUCCUUUUCAAAGCUGAAGUAAAGAAACUAGUUCAAUUAAAGCAUAUCAAGAAAUUUUG